rnacentral:rRNA from 1 species
UACGUAGGGUGCGAGCGUUAAUCGGAAUUCUGGGCGUAAAGCGUGCGCAGGCGGUCUGUUAAGACCGAUGUGAAAUCCCCCGGGCUUAACCUGGGAACUGCAUUGGUGACUGGCAGGCUUUGAGUGUCGGCAGAGGGGAGGUAGAAUUCCACGGUGUAGCAGUGAAAUGCGUAGAGAUGUGGAGGAAGUACCGAUGGCGAAGGGCAGCCUCCGUGGGCCAACACUGACGCUCAUGCACGAAGCGUGGGGAGCAAACAGG